rnacentral:lncRNA from 1 species
AUGACCCAUCGUUCUCAAAGUCGGGAGAGAGCAGUUGGCAAGGACCCUUGCAGAAUUUUAACAGGGAGGAGCCAAGAUGGCAGAAUAGCACGGAAGUUUUUUGUAUGUCUUGCAUCCAUGAAAUACAGCCAGACCAACACUAAACCAUCCUACACACCUAGAAAACUGACUGGAGGAUUAACACAACAAUCUGCACAACCUGAACCACAGAAUUCAGCAGGUACGUGGUGCAGAGAAGUGAACUUGGGGAACGAGAAGGUGCAGGAAGGGAGGUGCUUUUGUGAGUGGAGAGAGGAUGGAGACUGGGGGGGGGAGAGGAUACAGGAAAAGCACUCCUCCACAAAAGCAGCUGGAGAAAAGUGGAAAAUUGGAAACAGCUGCAGGGACUAAAUUAAAAAGGGAGAAAGGAGAAAGGAGUGGGUUUAAAUUCCAUUAAGACUGUAAACAAGGGGAGUGCAGUCUGCAACUCCGCAGCUUGAUACCUGGUGGUGCUCUGGUGGGAAGGGCGAAUCCCCA